UACGUAGGGGGCUAGCGUUGUCCGGAAUCAUUGGGCGUAAAGCGCGCGUAGGCGGCCCAGUAAGUCCGUUGUAAAAGUCAAAGGCUCAACCUUUGAAAGCCGAUGGAUACUGCUGGGCUAGAGUUCGGAAGAGGCGAGUGGAAUUCCCGGUGUAGCGGUGAAAUGCGCAGAUAUCGGGAGGAACACCUAUGGCGAAGGCAGCUCGCUGGGACGUUACUGACGCUGAGACGCGAAAGCGUGGGGAGCAAACAGG
rnacentral:rRNA from 1 species